CCUUAUCCAUAAAAGAGCCUCAGAGGAGUUGAAUUUACAUCACCUAAGGCACUUAUUCAGUGAAUCUCCUUAAGACAUCAGGUAAACAAUUCAAAACAGCUUCAGGAAGUCCCUGAAACUGAACACAUUCAGUAGGCCCUUUCUUCACAAGAGUGAACACUCCAAGUAGCCUAGAGUGACUCUCUGACAAAGCAUGCUGCAAAGAAGAUUCUGGGACCAGACUGGCUGCUUGGAAGAGAUUUACACCAACUGAGUCACCUGGAAAAGACACUCUAACUCCUCAUCUAUACUCCCGUAGUGAGAGAACAAGAGUGAUUCCCAGGUCACCCAUGGGCAGUCCAUGAAGAUGAGACUCAAGACAAGUGGGCUGGAUCUAGAGUUUGCUGGUUGGAGACUGUGAGAUCAGCCCCUGGGGAACUGUACUUCAUCUGCAUUCUUAUGGCCAGUUGACUUCCUUUGGCCAAUGGAAGAAGUCCUUUCAGAAUAGAAGCAUUAAACUCUGGAAGCUCCACUUUCCACUCCUGGUUUUCCUUUGCC
rnacentral:lncRNA from 1 species